CGCGGCGGCUGGCUGGGGAGCGAGCGCUGCUUGGAGCCCAGGGGCCGGCGGUCUGAGCUCCGUGAUCUCGGCCCUGGAUAGGCGGGCGGGGCGGGAUGCGCGCCGCGGGAGCGAGCCUGGCCGUCCUCAGGGCCGCGGAGAAUCUCGCUGGGCACCGAGAUGCGGACACUGAGGUCUAGAGGGCUGGUGUGCAGCAGAGCCAGAUGAGUUCCUGGAAUUCCUUUAGUUAGUAGGGAGACUUGAGUUUGGAUGCUGGCAACCCAGGCAGAGGGAACAGGCCAGGUUCCCAGUAAGGCUGCACAGAGGAACCCGCUGACUGUGGCAAUGGAGGGGGGCCCAGCGGUCUGCUGCCAGGACCCUCGGGCAGAGUUGGUGGAGCGAGUGGCAGCCAUGGAUGUGGCCCACUUGGAGGAGACGGAUGGCAGCCCAGAGCCCACCAGGAACUGUGUGGACCCUUCACCACGGGCCAGAGCUGCCUCCGUGAUCCCCGGCGGUACUUCAAGAUGCCCCGCCGCCCGGCCCGGCCUCUCGGCUAGGAAGUUCUCCCUGCAGGAGCGGCCAGCGGGGAGCUGCCUGGAGGCUCAGGCUGCACCUUACGCCACAGGGCCUGCCAGCCACAUCUCCCCACGGGCAUGGCGCAGGCCCACCAUCGAGUCCCACCAUGUGGCCAUCUCGGACGCAGAGGACUGUGUGCAGCUGAACCAGUACAAGCUGCAGAGUGAGAUUGGCAAGGGUGCCUACGGCGUGGUGAGGCUGGCCUACAACGAAAGUGAAGACAGGCACUAUGCAAUGAAAGUUCUUUCCAAGAAGAAGUUACUGAAGCAGUAUGGCUUUCCACGUCGCCCUCCCCCUAGAGGGUCCCAGGCUGCCCAGGCAGGACCAGCCAAGCAGCUGCUGCCCCUGGAGCGGGUGUACCAGGAGAUCGCCAUCCUGAAGAAGCUGGACCACGUGAAUGUGGUCAAGCUGAUCGAGGUCCUGGAUGACCCAGCUGAGGACAAUCUCUAUUUGGUGUUUGACCUCCUGAGAAAGGGGCCGGUCAUGGAAGUGCCCUGCGACAAGCCCUUCCCCGAGGAGCAAGCUCGUCUCUACCUGAGGGACAUCAUCCUGGGUCUUGAGUACUUGCACUACCAGAAGAUCAUCCACAGGGACAUCAAGCCAUCCAACCUGCUCCUGGGGGACGACGGGCACGUGAAGAUCGCCGACUUCGGCGUCAGCAACCAGUUUGAGGGGAACGACGCUCGGCUGUCCAGCACGGCCGGGACCCCAGCGUUCAUGGCCCCUGAGGCCAUUUCUGAGUCCGGCCAGAGCUUCAGUGGGAAGGCCUUGGACGUGUGGGCCACAGGGAUCACGCUGUACUGCUUUGUCUACGGGAAGUGCCCAUUCAUCGAUGAUUUCAUCCUGGCCCUGCACCGCAAGAUCAAGAAUGAGGCCAUCGUGUUCCCGGAGGAGCCAAAGGUCAGCGAAGAGCUCAAGGACUUAAUCCUGAAGAUGCUAGACAAGAACCCUGAAACAAGAAUUGGGGUGCCAGACAUCAAGUCGCAUCCCUGGGUGACCAAGAAUGGGGAGGAGCCCCUUCCCUCGGAGGAGGAGCAUUGCACCGUGGUAGAGGUGACGGAGGAGGAGGUGAAGAACUCAGUCAGGCUCAUCCCCAGCUGGACCACAGUGAUCCUGGUUAAGUCCAUGCUGAGAAAGCGUUCCUUUGGGAACCCGUUUGAGCCCCAGGCGCGGAGGGAAGAGCGAUCCAUGUCUGCCCCAGGAAGCUUAUUGUCCGAGUAAGGACAGGCAGACUGGUGACGACGAUGCUGGGCCAGGGAAGAGGAACCCCCAGUGCUGCCAGCUGCCGCCUCAGAGCCCGGCAGUCUGGGAUGCUGACAAGGCCUGCUGGAGUUUGCGCACAGACCUGCAGAGAGAAAACAGUAAGGGGGUCCUGGACCAGAAUGUGGUCCUGGGACUUGGGUCGCCUUCCUCUAGCCUGCGAAGGGAGCUGCGGGACAGAGGGGCUGUGCCAGCCAGCCCGCUCUGCGGAGGAGAUGUGCUCCCCUGGGAGGUGAGCGGCGGCUGCCGUCCAGGAAGGAUGGGUGUGGUGAAGGAGGCAAAAGCCCGGAGCUCCCCGGCGUCCAAGAAGAUGAGGCUGCGUCCUGAGCCCCUGCAUGCGCCCAGGGCCGCCCGGCAGCACGCUCAUCCUGCGCCUCCAAAGGCCCACUGCCCUCAUGCCAACAGCCGCCCCUGCGGGCAGGGGGCUGGGGACUGUGGCCCCUCUCCUGGCCCUCCUCCCCUGUCGUGCUGCAUGACCUCCACAAGUGCGUGUCCAGGGACAGGAUCGGAAUAUGUGUCACCUGGGGUUUGGGGGGGGUAGGGCUCCCACAAAGCCUUUUGUUUCGUCCUGGCUCUCCCUGGCGGGACCCAUUCUUUGGGGAAGCUGGGUGCCCGUGGUGCCUUAGAAACCUCACCGGCUGGUUGGCAAGGCCCAGGGGCAGGAGGCAGGAAACCAAGAUGACAGGUGGAAGCCUCGUUUGCUACCACCGCAGAGGCCGGGUGGGCGUGGCUCAGCCGCCACCUGCACAAGGAGGGGUGUACCCUGCCCUCCUCAGGGGGGCGCUGCCAGAGCUCUUGUCUACUGAGAACACUGACGUGGAGGCUCUGAGCCCUUGGUGGGUGUUCCUGGGCCUCACGGGGGCGGGGGCCAGUAUUGGAGAAUCCAGGUUCCUCUUUCGUUAUCUUUUUUUUGGUAACUUGAUGGGGGAGGUAGGUGCAAAGCUCUGCCUGGGAACACGUAUCGAGCUUUCCUCCAGCUUUGGGUGGUUCCCAGCGUACCCACCAUCACUUGGCAGCCAAGUGGAUUGGACUGGCCUUCCCGGAUUGUGUUUCACACUCUGGAGGAUGGGCUGAGUGAGGCUUGGAGCAGAGGCCCGAACCAGGAACACCAGCCUUCCCUGCCCGCCUCCCUCCCUCCCCCCGUGGCUCCCCAGAGCCCUGGCUGCCAGAGAUACCAGGGCUGACAUGGACCGAGGGCCCUGGACUCACAGGGCUGUGACCUUGCAGAUGCUGGAGUAACUGAAAUCCAGGCUGCGCUCCAGCACCGGCCUCCCCAUCUGGUCCUGGAAGCUGCCCUCGCGUUCCAAUGAUGAAGGACCAAGUGCCCAGGUUGGAGGCCUCGCUAGAGCUGGAACCCUGGUGGGGUGUGUGCGCUGGCAGGUGGCCACGGAGAGGUGGGCCUUCUGUCGCUGGCUCACCCCAGAACAGUUGUCAUCCCACCUGCUCAGAGCUGGAGCCGACUUCUCUCUGGGAUCAGUGCCUGGCUUGCUGGCUUGGCCUUGACUGACCAAAUGCUGAAGAGACUGACCCCCAAAGGAAAAUGAAGCAGGACUCACAUACCUGCCCUGAAGACAUGGGCCAGACAAGGGAUUUCAGUCACCCUCACGGGGCUCCUGUUGCAGGAGAACUCUGUUCGGAAGGGAAGGAGGUGGGGCUGGAGGAAGGCUGCAUCCCACGUGUGUCUGUGCCUGUGGGUGUACAUCACCUCUCCAUGCACGCACGCCCGUGCGUGCCCAUCUGCUGCACACAGCAUGUCUUGCACCAGCACGUGCAUCUGUAAUAUAGUGUCUAUGUUUAUUUAAGGCUCUGAGCAGAACGCGGCCAGUUGUCAUCGGGUCCACAUUUCUCCCUGCUCCUCUGCAGUAAGGCAUUGUAACCCAGGGCUUAAACAAUAAUUCGGUACUGUUCUUAAGAACACUUUUUAUAGAGUUCAUGGGAGGCCAUUCACGGAUCAGCAGGUUUUCCCUGAGCAUCUCUGUGCUGGGGCCUUGGAGGGUAGGGGUUUCAGGGACACGCUCCCCCCUCGCAGAGCUCCAAGGUGGGCCCGGCUUCAUUGCCCACGCUCACCCCAUCACUGAGGGUUUGGACUGGCAUUAUUGUUUCUGAAUGUAGCACAAGGGAUGGACAGACUCCAUAAGAGUGUUUUAAAAAUUAACUUCCUAGGAAGUGAGUUAAAAAUAAUAAAAGCCCUUUCCUGAGUUAAAACAAAACAA